GAUGAACGCUGGCGGCGUGCCUAAUACAUGCAAGUCGAGCGAAUGGACGAGAAGCUUGCUUCUCUGAUGUUAGCGGCGGACGGGUGAGUAACACGUGGAUAACCUACCUAUAAGACUGGGAUAACUUCGGGAAACCGGAGCUAAUACCGGAUAAUAUUUUGAACCGCAUGGUUCAAAAGUGAAAGACGGUCUUGCUGUCACUUAUAGAUGGAUCCGCGCUGCAUUAGCUAGUUGGUAAGGUAACGGCUUACCAAGGCAACGAUGCAUAGCCGACCUGAGAGGGUGGUCGGCCACCCUGGAACUGAGACACGGCCCAGACACCUACGGGAGGCAGCAGUAGGGAAUCUUCCGCAAUGGGCGAGAGCCUGACGGAGCAACGCCGCGUGAGUGAUGAAGGUCUUAGGAUCGUAAAACUCUGUUAUUAGGGAAGAACAUAUGUGUAAGUAACUGUGCACAUCUUGACGGUACCUAAUCAGAAAGCCACGGCUAACUACGUG
rnacentral:rRNA from 1 species